rnacentral:rRNA from 1 species
UACAGAGGGUGCGAGCGUUAAUCGGAAUUACUGGGCGUAAAGCGUGCGUAGACGGUCAUGUAAGUCGGGUGUGAAAGCCCCGGGCUCAACCUGGGAAUUGCAUUCGAGACUGCAUGGCUAGGAUGCGGAAGAGGGAAGCGGAAUUUCCGGUGUAGCGGUGAAAUGCGUAGAUAUCGGAAGGAACACCAGUGGCGAAAGCGGCUUCCUGGUCCAGCAUCGACGUUCGGGCACGAAAGCGUGGGGAGCAAACAGG